AAAAAUACCUGGCAGGAGAGAUGCCAUGAUCAUGAAAGUGGUUUUCCCAAUGGUCUUAUCCAUUGCACUUUGGCCGUGCUGAAACCUACAAUGGCCCCAAAUGCGGAAAUUUGACUGCAUAAUUUGUGGUAGUGGGGGGACUGUAUUUUUCUCUACCCUA